AUUGAAAUAAGACUGAGAAACUAAUAUUGUGUGCAUUAUGCUUCUCUUGUGUUAUCUCCUUAUGUGUGUCCUUGUGUUGUGCUAAUGGAGAGGCACUAGACUCGUUUUCAUGGUCCAUGUUACUGUUUUUGGUCAUAAUCAGGCGCAAUAUAAAAAAAAUUUAAGCAAUGUACGGGGGCAUUAAUUUUCUGCACCGUUUUGAUUUUUUUUUUUUUUUGAUGGGAGAAGAAUGAUAAGGAAAUUCUUGGUAUAAAUUUUGACAUCUUUACAGACUUACAGUUUUUAGCUUCUCUUAGCUACACACUUCUAACAAAUUUCCUAAUGUGCCCCUUCUAGAAAUAAUGGUGGCAACUUAAUUAGUUCACCUACAGUGCAUGAAUCUGGUGCUUUUGAUUCCAGAAUACCUUUGACUACUACUUAGUUCUAUUUCUUGGUUGUUAUUUAGCUAGUACUUUGUUAUAUUCCGGGGGUGCUAUUUUGUUUUUCAGACUUGGAAUGCUUAUCUUUUGGUGCAUGGGGAGUCAAAUGGAGCGGAAGUAUAGUGACUAGCCAUCUAACAAAUGGUGCAUAUAUGUUGGCGACUCUUAUUCAAGUUCCGGCUUUGUGAAGAUUUGGAUAUUUCGGCUUAUAUAUAUGUUGACAAUUUGUAUUUUGGACGAUCAAAUUAAUUAUCUAACUUUUAUUUAUUAUUAGUACGGUAUGUCAUAUCAAAAAUAGGCAAGUAAUAUUUUGUAAUGUAUGUAUUUUGUAUUAUAAUUAUUAUAUAUAAAUGAUACUUUAAUUUGUUUAUGUUAGUAUAUUUAGAUUUGUGCCGACUAAUUAAUAUUAUAUUACUAUUCCAUCCCAACAAAAAAAAAAAAAAAAAA